CAUGUACUCCCUCCGUUCGGAAUUACUUGUCAUAAAAAUAGAUGUAUCUACAACUAAAAUAUAUCUAGAUACAUUCAUUUCUUGGACGAGUAAUUGCGAACGGAGGGAGUAGCUC
rfam:Triticum aestivum genome assembly, contig: Triticum_aestivum_CS42_TGACv1_scaffold_577589_7BL